rnacentral:rRNA from 1 species
CACAUCAGCUCGAGUGAGAAUACGCGCUCAACUUAAGCAUAUCAGUCAGCGCACGUACACUAAUAGAAACUAACCAGGAUUCCCUUAGUAACGGCGAGUGAACUGGGAUACCAACACACCAAUAUGCACUCUGUGAUAAAUUUUAGCCCGUCGAUACUAUCCUAGCAUAUCACCGGUCUCGGCCGGUAACCCAAUAUGCGGGAAUUGUAGCAUCGUAAUAAAAAAUAUAUAUACGUGCUGUGCACACACACACAUGAACCCUGUGCCAUGCGUACGUGACCUUGUAAACACACAGCGUCUCCGCGUUGGAAAGCAAGUAUAUAUCCUCUUUGGAUAUGCCAUAGAGUGUGACAGCCACGUUUGACUCACUCCACACGUUACGCGCACACACACCCAUUGCACACACACACAUUAUAUAUAUUUCUAUAACCUGAGUCGAGUUAUUUGGGACUAUAGCUCUAAUAGUUUGGUUGGUGGUAAUGACACAUCAAAGGCUAAAUAUUGGUUAGAUCGAUGCAUAUUGCGGAGACCGAUAGCAUACAAGUACCGUAAGGAACGAUGAAAAGCACCCUAUUGAGUUCACGGCACAGACUCGAUGCGCGGUUCGGGGUGGGCCGUGUCCGGUGCCCAACAACUACAGUGGGAGUGAAAGAGAGAGUGAAAUCGCCUAUACAUAAAAUAUAUGCACUACACACAGUAACUGCAUGCAGUCUGCGUUAGUACAAUCGGACAGAGUGUCGUAUCAUUGUAUGGCCGCCUAAUACAUAACACACACACAUUACACUGUGUAUUAUGGUCAGGCCCAUAGCUGGGUUCGCCCGCUAUACGCGACACAACUGUACGACCCGUUUUGAAACACGGACCAAGGAGUUCAACUGGAUUACGAGUCGUCGAGUAUUUAUGCACACACAUAUAAACUCACACGGCACAGCGAAAGCAACUUAAUCCUUUUUACAGUGCUAGGUCGGCCGUCAAAAGCUGACCGCAGCACGCGCUGAGUGAGUAUAUGCGUGAGGGCCUCGUGUCAACGCGCGUACCUGUACGCCUUUUGUGUGAACAGGAUCACUCAAGCGUUCGACGAGUAUAUCUUGUUGAGACCCGAAAGAUGGUGAACUAUGCUCGGAUAUGGCGAAGUCAGGUGAAAACUUGAUGGAAGCUUGCGUUGUGCGGAACUGACGUGCAAAUCGUUACCGCCUAACCUGAGUAUAGGGGCGAAAGACUCACGAACCAUCUAGUAGCUGGUUCCCUCCGAAGUUUCCCUCAGGAUAGC